rnacentral:rRNA from 1 species
UACGUAGGGCGCAAGCGUUGUCCGGAAUUAUUGGGCGUAAAGAGCUCGUAGGUGGUGUGUCGCGUCUGCCGUGAAAGCCCGGGCUUAACUCCGGGUCUGCGGUGGAUACGGGCAGACUAGAGGCAGGUAGGGGAGAACGGAAUUCCCGGUGUAGCGGUGAAAUGCGCAGAUAUCGGGAGGAACGACCGGUGGCGAAGGCGGUUCUCUGGGCAGUAACUGACGGCUGAGGAGCGAAAGCCGUGGGGAGCGAACAGGA